UCUCCUGGUUGUCACCUGUCUGUUCCCCGUGCCCGCCAGAGACCAGGUAACUCUCCUGUUGUCACCUGUCUGUUCCCCGUGCCCGCCAGAGACCAGGUAACUGUCCUGUCCUACUGUUGUCAACUGUCUGUUCCCCGUGCCCACCAGAGGCCAGGUAACUGUCCUGUCCUACUGUUGUCAACUGUCUGUUCCCCGUGCCCGCCAGAGACCAUGCAACUGUCCUGUCCU